rnacentral:lncRNA from 1 species
CCCAAGAGUGCAAGUGGAACCAAAGACACACACGGCCAGCUAGCUCGGCACCCAGUCGCCGGCCGCUUCGCCACUUCAGGCCAGAGGUACGCAAGCGCAUGCUUUGAUAUGGCUUCUGUCUCUGCUUCUGCUUGAUCGUUCUUACAGGUAGCUAGAUCAUCGAUCGCAUGUCGAUAUAGUGCUCUUCGGACGGGAGCUCGACCAAUCGUAAGAACAUAGCUAGCUAAUGUCUUCGAGGCAUGGCUGAGCCGAGCCCAAGCAUAGUGAUCGACGGUGACGUGUUGCACGGCAGGCCGUGAUGCGUAGUUCUCAAUGUACCGACGUUUUAGCUAGAGUAGGUGAUCGUUAAACGUAACCAACCAUCCGAGCAAGUGCAAGUGUUUUCCUAACCACAAAUUGGCCCGGUCGAGAGGUGUCUCUGUCCACGGUGUACGCUUCGACUGUGAUCGAUCGUUGCACUACAAGAAGCUAGGAUACUAGACUAAUCAACCACUCUACACACAUGCAGUCGCUCUAUGAGGUGGAUUACUGUCUUUUUUUGGCGAAGAUAUGCGGUGGAUUACCACGCAGGAGUAGAACUUGGUUGUAUCCUUCUGCGCACUCUGCAUGAGUCUGCCACGUACUACGUAGUUGACCAAACAAUAAUGCAUAUAUAUUGAUAUAUGCACACAUAAAUCAGAAGUAAAAGCCAUGCAAAGCUGCAUUUCCGGGAAUAUAGAUGCUGUGCCAGAGAAGCUUAACCGAUUGAUAGCCAUAUUAUUCGCGCGUUUAUCUGCACCUUUAAAUCUUCUUUUUCACGCUCCGUCGGGUAGUGGUUUUCUAAAGUUGGCCGGCACCAGUCCAAAGCUGGCCUGGUUGCUGUUACACAAGAAAGAGCGAUCAGGGUAACCACACGUCAGUAGAUUCAGAUAUCGUAGACGCCUUUUUUGUUGCUCCAUUUCAACCAAGCACUCCAAAGCUGGCAGGCACCACCUAUCAGCAUGGUAUUAGUCUCCGAAAGCUGCUUAACUUGCCGAUGACGCAGCUCGCAUUCCACUCCCCUUUUGUUGGAUACAUUUAUAAACAGUUCGAUCGGGAUAUAUAUAAUGUGACAUUUCUUGGCUUUUUUGCUUUUAGAGUGGCCAACAUUCGGGAUAAAACCAUCUGAUCAAGCAUUGCUUAUUUGUUUGUCUGCUAGUGAUAAUACUCAAAUGUACGGACUACGGAUGCAGAAGAUGAUAAGAGCGGAGUAUAUGUGACUGGUCAAAUACGCACUAGACAGAACACUUGUAGUUUUGUUACUGCAGUUGUUUUCUCG